rnacentral:lncRNA from 1 species
CCCAAGCCCACACAAAUGAAACCCCCUCUGCGGAGAAGCCAGCUACAGGAAAUUGACUGAUGCACAGGAACUUGCUAAUCGCUUUUGUCACAUUCAGAUUGUUCCUGCUGGCUUGGUCACCUCACGCACACUAAGCCCAGCCAUCUCUGGUUGGCUUCUCCACCGGUGUGAUUUCAUAUUUUUAGUUCUUCCAACCUGAAUCAGUCAUAUUCUUGGAUAGAAAGGUCGGUGCAUUCACCACACCGAAAAGGUUUGGGCUGUGUUUAUGUUUUAUCUACCUGCACCAAGCGAACUUGACUUCCGGAGUCAGGCAUUUUGGUGUCAAGACAUUUUCUGGAAUUCUACAACAGGCUGAUUCAAGCCCUGAAGCAUCAGCUCGAAGGCUCACUCAGUGGCACUACUCAUGAUGAC